GCUUUCUAGUUGUGUGGGGUAUUUCUUCAGUAUGAAACCUCUGUUUGAUGUUUUCUUUAAAAGAAAGUGAAAAUGAAUAAUAUAAUUGAGAAAAGUAAGAAAGCACAGCCAUAUACGUUCAUGUGUGGAAAAUAAUGUUUAAUGGAAUACAUCGAAUGCUUCUUUCCCCUACAUGAAUUUUGAAGGUCACAUUCCUAUAUACAGAUACAAUGGAAAAUUGAAUCAUACUUCAUCUUCAUUCUGGUUGGCUGAUGUGUUCCGUCUCAAAUUGAUGUAUAGCGUAUGUUUUGUGCAGCCAUAGCUGCAAUUCUGUAUAGUGUGCAUUCUGCUGCAGUGCUGCUGUGGACCAAAAUAUCCGGAUUAACUCUUUGUCCUUCUAGAUAUUUUUUAGAAAUUCUUUUACCCUUUAAUUUGAGGCCGUGCUUGUUGGCUUAAAUGCCUGUCAAAAUAAAUGGAAAUAAGCUUAAUUUGUCCUUUGUAUUUUUUAAGGGUGUCAAAUUUAAUUUAUCAUUAACUUUUGAUUUAAUUUAGCU
rnacentral:misc_RNA from 1 species